UAUCUCUGUAGAGUCUGCAUAUCAAUAAGCGGAGGAAAAGAAACUAACUAGGAUUCCCUCAGUAACGGCGAGUGAAGCGGGAAGAGCUCAAAUUUGAAAUCUUCAAGGUUCUACCUUGACGAAUUGUAGUUUAAAGAAGUGUUUUCUGUUGGAGUUUUGGUAAAAGUUCUUUGGAAUAGGACAUCAUAGAGGGUGAGAAUCCCGUAUUUGACCAUUAUUUUCAGCUGUGUGAUACACUUUCAAAGAGUCGGAUUGUUUGGGAAUGCAGUCCAAAAUGGGUGGUAAAUUUCAUCUAAAGCUAAAUAUUGGCGAGAGACCGAUAGCGAACAAGUACCGUGAGGGAAAGAUGAAAAGAACUUUGAAAAGAGAGUUAAACAGUACGUGAAAUUGUCAAAAGGGAAGCGUUUGACACCAGUGUUGUUUUCUCGAAAAUCAAUUAAAAAAAGUUGGAUUUUGUAUUGUUAAGACCUUAUCAGCUUACUGUACUCUUUUCUUGCUUUUUUUAAUGCACUUUUCGUUUAACAAGUCAACAUCAAUUUCUUUUGUUGUAAAAGAGUCAUUGGAAGGUGGCUUUCACUUCGGUGAAAGUGUUUAUAGCCUUUGGCUUCUGCAAUCGGAGAGAUUGAGGUCUGCAGCGUAGAUCCUUCGGGGCUAGAUACGUAGAUGCUAAGUUAUAGUUUUUUAUAGACAACUUGUUGACUAUAAUUAAUCAUGUAGCUUACUCGUUUGCGCUAUUUUACCUACGCUUAGGAUGUUGACGAGACUGUCGAUCUC
rnacentral:rRNA from 1 species